AGCUCCAAUAGCGUAUAUUAAAGUUGUUGCGGUUAAAAAGCUCGUAGUUGGAUUUCUAAGCCUGCCAGUUCUGUCUGACCUUUAAGAGUCAGCACGGUGUCUGGCGUGUCUUAUUAUGCGUUUAAUGGCGUUUGCUAUUCGUUUAGCGAGUGCCGUGAGAGCGCGUGUUUACUUUGAGAAAAUUAGAGUGUUCAAAACAGUCUUUCGAUUGUAUAUCAUAGCAUGGAAUAAUAACUGAUGACAACGGUCUCUGUUGUUGGCUUUCGGUGACUGAUGUAAUGAUUGAUAGAGUCAGUCGGAGGCAUUAGUAUUUUAUCGUUAGAGGUGAAAUUCACAGAUCGAUAAAAGACUAACAACUGCGAAAGCAUUUGUCUAGGAUGUGCUCU
rnacentral:rRNA from 1 species